AUUGAUACAUCCUUGGCGAUAGUUGGACCCACAAGGUUCCUGAAACUCUGGGUGAACAUUCUGUUCUGACAGUGAACCACUCAGCUGAUUGAUCCUGUGAAACAUCAUACGGUAAAACUCAGAAGUAAUGUCUAAGAAGUGAGAGGACGAAAGCCCCCACAGGCGCUCUGAACAGCCUCUCCCAUUGGGCCGAGGGUACGGUUUGAAUGUUCUUUGCAGGGCAAUUAAACAGACAUUAACAGCGGACAUUGUGAGAUUCCAGUGGCCAGCCUUGUGCCUAAGUGUUGCCUUAUGCUUGAAAUCUGGUCCUCCGCAGCACAGUAUUCAAACCCAUGUGUGACUUUGGGUGCAUUAUCAAAUCAACCUUCUGACUAAACUCCCUGGUGCCAGCACCUGUGAUUCCUGGUGCUAAACACUGAUGCAGAACAUAAUAGAAGCUUCCUGCUGGGCCAUGCUGGAGUCACCAAGACGGUAUGACUGCCUUCCCAAGGAGACAGUUACUUGUAUA